UUGUUUAGUUUUACACGAGUUCUUGGUAAAUGGUUGCAUCGACGGGGAUAGUACUUUCUAAGUAAAGUGUUAGAAACAUAGCGUUACGGUUGCACUAUUUCCGCUCGUAAGUACCGAUGAAAUCAUACAAAGAUUUUAAGGUCAUUUGCACUAUUUUCUCUCGGGCGUUCGACGCGUCGAUCGAUUUGGUAAAAUUAAGUUACAACCAAAAUUAAUGUUUUUGUUCGUUGUAAUUAUUUGCACGGCUGUCAAGAAAAUCCGAUCUAUAUAAAUAAAAAGUGGAACGGUUGCGUUCACUGUUCGGGUACAUCACCGAUACUUUGUAAAUCGUCAGUUUCCUAUACUUACGCGCAUAAUUGUAUCCACUCGGAUUCCCUUUUACGUAAAUACAAAGAAAACGUGAAAUAACGUAAAUCGUGUAACGUUAAAAAUGCUUUAGCGAAAGAGACAAGCGGCAAUGUACGUUGAAAAAUCUUUUUUUUUACAUAUAAUUAUCUAAUAGCAUAAGUAUUAUAAAUCACAAUGACAGUAGAACUAAAGCUGAUGACGAUUACAUCCAUACAAAGGAACGCAUUUUCCUUCCGAUUAAACAUUGAGUUUGCCUACUAUGACAAUCUUUGCCGUUUCGGGGAAGGUGUUACCUCCGUGUCCUCAUCUUCUUCAUCCGAAUCACCCUCGUAAUCGACUAAGCCCUGGAAGAUAUUUUAUUGAAUACGCAUUUUAAAUCAAGAAAUUAAUACGUCUACAAACUAUAAAACUGAAAUUUACCUUUUUAAAUAAUGCAGUACCAGUUUUUUCUACCGAGCCAAUAGGCGAAUUUGGAUUCACUUCCGAGAUUGCUGUUGCUGUUGCUGUUGAUGAUGACUUUUCGAAUCUGCAAGAGCAGGAUUAAGUGCGGAAUUUGAAGUUGACGACUGUUUCUUAGCUGAAGCCGGAGGCACAAGAUCUGCUGCUGCUGCGGGCACGACAGCUUCAC